rnacentral:rRNA from 1 species
CGAACGGGUGAGUAACACGUGAGUAACCUGCCCUUGACUCUGGGAUAAGCGUUGGAAACGACGUCUAAUACCGGAUACGACCCGUGGAGGCAUCUCCUACGGGUGGAAAGAAUUUUGGUUGAGGAUGGACUCGCGGCCUAUCAGCUUGUUGGUGAGGUAAUGGCUCACCAAGGCGACGACGGGUAGCCGGCCUGAGAGGGUGACCGGCCACACUGGGACUGAGACACGGCCCAG